rnacentral:rRNA from 2 species
UACGAGGGGGGCAAAUGUUGUUCGGAAUCACUGGGCGUAAAGGGAGCGUAGGCGGGCUUCUAAGUUGGAUGUUUAACCCCGGGGCCCAACCCCGGAUCGGCAUCCAAAACUGGAAGUCUUGAAUAGUGGAGAGGACGGCGGAAUUGGGGGUGUAGCGGUGGAAUGCGUAGAGAUCCCCAAGAACACCAGUUGCGAAGGCGGCCGUCUGGACACAUAUUGACGCUGAGGCUCGAAAGCAUGGGGAGCAAACAGG